rnacentral:rRNA from 1 species
AUUGAACGCUGGCAGCAUGCUUUACACAUGCAAGUCGAACGGUAACAGGCCGCAAGGUGCUGACGAGUGGCGAACGGGUGAGUAAUGCAUCGGAACGUGCCCAGUCGUGGGGGAUAACUACUCGAAAGAGUAGCUAAUACCGCAUACGAUCUAUGGAUGAAAGCGGGGGACCGUAAGGCCUCGCGCGAUUGGAGCGGCCGAUGUCAGAUUAGGUAGUUGGUGGGGUAAAGGCUCACCAAGCCAACGAUCUGUAGCUGGUCUGAGAGGACAACCAGCCACACUGGGACUGAGACACGGCCCAGACUCCUACGGGAGGCAGCAGUGGGGAAUUUUGGACAAUGGGCGCAAGCCUGAUCCAGCAAUGCCGCGUGCAGGAAGAAGGCCUUCGGGUUGUAAACUGCUUUUGUACGGAACGAAACGGCUCUGGUUAAUACCCGGGGCUAAUGACGGUACCGGAAGAAUAAGCACCGGCUAACUACGUG